rnacentral:rRNA from 1 species
CAGCAGCCGCGGUAAAACCAGGGGUGCAAGCGUUAUUCGGAUUGAUUGGGUGUAAAGGGUGUGCAGACGGCUUAUUAAGUCACUUGUUAAAUUCUUCGGCCUAACUGAAGGUCUGCAAGUGAUACUGAUGAGCUAGAGGGUGGAAGAGAGAAGUGGAAUUCUCGGAGUAGCGGUAAAAUGCGUAGAUCUCGAGAGGAACACCAAUGGCGAAGGCAGCUUCUUGGUCCAUUCCUGACGUUCAUACACGAAAGCGUGGGGAGCAAACAGGAUUAGAUACCCCAGUAGUCCCUGUCUCUUAUAA